CACGUAGGUAACCUGCCCAUGUGUCCGGGAUAACUGCUGGAAACGGUAGCUAAAACCGGAUAGGUAUACAGAGCGCAUGCUCAGUAUAUUAAAGCGCCCAUCAAGGCGUGAACAUGGAUGGACCUGCGGCGCAUUAGCUAGUUGGUGAGGUAACGGCCCACCAAGGCGAUGAUGCGUAGCCGGCCUGAGAGGGUAAACGGCCACAUUGGGACUGAGACACGGCCAA
rnacentral:rRNA from 1 species